CGGCCACACUGGGCAUAUUCUGUUUAACAGUUUUUAAUUCGCACAAUUUCUUCCGAGUGUUAAGUGGGAACAGAACUUUCGAAUUUUAUUUACUAGUCGCCAUCUACGAUAUGAUAGGAUUUCAGUUUGUCAUUUUGCUGGGUCAAAGCGUUGUGAUAUCCAGUAAGAACACUUAUGAGGCUAAACGGAUGGGUGUACUGGUACAUAAAGUAAUUGCGCUGACGUACAACCGAGACUUUGUUUUGCGUCUGAAAAUUUUGUCAAUGCAAACACUUCACCGUUGUCCCAACUUUUCUUUUGGCGUUUUCGCAAUGAAUUGGCAAUUUGUUUUUUCGUUCGUGGCAUCGGUAGCUGCAUAUUUGUUUAUUUUAAUUCAGUUCCA